UACGGAGGGUGCAAGCGUUGUCCGGAUUUAUUGGGUUUAAAGGGUGCGUAGGCGGCUUUUUAAGUCAGUGGUGAAAGACAACAGCUCAACUGUUGCAGUGCCAUUGAUACUGAAGAGCUUGAGUACAGAUGAGGUAGGCGGAAUUUAUGGUGUAGCGGUGAAAUGCAUAGAUACCAUAAAGAACACCUAUUGCGAAGGCAGCUUACUAAGCUGUAACUGACGCUGAGGCACGAAAAGUGUGGGGGAUCAAACAGG
rnacentral:rRNA from 1 species